rnacentral:rRNA from 1 species
AUGGCCAAGUCUAGUCGCCGGCGACGGGCUGCCAAAUUGAAUGCUAAGAAAGGCAGUCAAGAUGAUAGGAUCAGCAGCUUGCCCAAUGAUAUCCUGGUCAACAUUCUUGAUCGACUCGAUGUCCGCGACGCUGUGAGAACCAGUGUCCUCUCGAGACGGUGGAGCCAGCUUCCUGCCAUGCUCCCACAGCUUAGAAUAAAUGCUCAGGACAUACUGCCCUCAAAAAUUAAAACCGGCAUGUCCGAUGAUGAAUUGGUUCGAAUGUCCAAUGCAGUUGUUAUCAAAGCGACAAAGAGCAUACUGGCACGCAGGGAUCCAGUCGAAUGCACCAUCCGCUUCUUCAGUGCGACGUUCUACUUGAGCGACGAUGCACCCUUAUCAGUUGGGCAUGCUGUUGGCAGUGCCAUGGUGACACACAAAAUUGAGAAGGCCGAAUUCAGAGUUUUGACACAGAAGAAACGCCUAGAGUGCACCAUUGGCGAUAUGCUGACCUAUGGGAAACGGUUUGUGUUGUUUUUCAACAAGUGUCUAAAUGCAUUCGCUGGUCUCACGCGCCUCUGCCUGCAGAACUUGAGAUUCGCUGAAUCUGACUUUGUCUCCAACAUCCUCGUCACUUGCAAGCAGUUGAAUUAUUUAGGUUUUCUCAAUUGCGACACAAAGAGUUGGAUAACGCUCCAAGUUGAGCACGCACAACUCAGUGAGCUCAGUAUUGUCAAUUGCCGUUUUGACAUGGUCGAACUCACCUGGCUUCCGAAGCUCACCUGUCUGGCGUUUGAGAUUUGGAUCGCUUUCAACGAACCACCACUGUCAUUUGGCUAUGUCCCAUUGCUUGAGGUUCUCAGCCUUUCAAAUGUUGCUUAUAAUCGGCACAAAAUGGUCAAGUUAAGUACAUUUCUUGGCGAGACCUCUGUUCGAGACCUGAAGUUGGGGUUUAAAUGUGAAAAGAUUUGGGUUCAACCAGAGUGUUUGGCCGGAAGGCAGGCACAUGUGUUCCACCAACUAAGGAUUCUCCGUCUAUUUGGCAUUCCUGAAGGGUAUGAUCUCACCUGGACAAUGUUCUACUUGGAAGCGGCACCGUCCCUGGAGGAGCUCUACAUGACGGUGGUUGAUCAUCCGUGUGAAAUGGAAAUGGAUGAGAAGGUGAGGAGGCGGGAGUCGUAUAGCGAGAACAAGGGGGUCCAGUGGGAAUCACCUACACCAAAUUUCAAGCACCAUCGUCUCACCAAGCUAGCCUUCUUCUGCUUCCAGUCUGAAGAAUACAUGGUGAGUCAUGUCAGGCGUGUCAUGAAAGCAGCGGUGAAUCUAGGGGAUGUGUACCUGUAUGACAGGGUCACAUGUAUCUACUGUGAAGGCGUGGAGCCUCUAAAGCCGAUAGUGUUUCCGAAGACAGAUGAGCAGAUGUCUUCAGUGGAGAAGCAAAUCAGAGAGGGCACUGAGUCACCUGCCAUAAUCCAUUUCCUGUCGGCUGCUGAAAUAAGCGAUGAUUAUCUUGCAAGGAUAUGUGAAGACGGUUAG